CUCGUUGCUGUGCCGUUAUGUCGGAACAGUGAACAACCGGUCCGAGGCGCGGCCAGCUAACUCCGACCCCCCUGCUGAGGACGUGUCCUCUAAUGAGCGCAUCUUCUGGAACAUUCAUCAGAUAUUGGACUGUGUGUGUUUCCUGUCGUCUGCAGAGCUUCUGUCCUCAGCUUUAACGCUGCAGGGAGGAGCUGCGGCAUCAGGACGGCCGUGAUGAGCGAGGAGGCCACAGAGCGGGAAGGAGGCGGGUAAAUACAGCUGGCUGUCGGCGCUCAGCUCCUUCUGCAAACACAGGGGGAGGUCUUGGCUUUCUGCUGUCUCCUUGCCAGGCUCUGCAUUUACUCUGCUGGAAUCUCCUACACCUCCAUCUACUUCACAAUGGCUUAAUACUGAAAGAUCAUGCUUGAAGAUGGAAAAAGUUUUAUUAACAGUUCAGCAAAAUUUACUCACAAGUGGGCACCUUUUGUGACAUACAUAAAAUC